rfam:Burkholderia udeis isolate LMG 27134 genome assembly, contig: contig000027
CUGCUAACGCGGGGGUCCUGCGCUGCACAUCGCAAUCUUUCACCGGAUUGUCCGUGUGUCGCGGGUGAGAAAUACCCUUUGAACCUGAUCUGGAUAAUGCCAGCGCAGGGAAGCGUUCGGAUUUCGCAG